rnacentral:lncRNA from 1 species
GGGUUUGGCUUUAGGCUUUGGAGCCCUAAACGCCCCCCAACCCGUACCCCAUCUCCCUCCUUCCUUCCAAGCAGCGGCCUCUGCAGUCCCUCAGUGUGGAACUGCCCUCGGACAAUGCCUGGGACUCAGGCCUCACUAAAGGUUGCCCUUUCUGGCAGGGCGCGGUGGCUCACGCCUAUAAUCUCAGCACUUGGGAGGCCGAGGUGGGUGGAUCACUUGAGGUCGGGAGUUCGAGACCAGCCUGGCCAACAUGGUGCAACCCCACCUCUACUAAAAAUACAAAAUUAGCUGGGUGUGGUGGCACAUGCCUGUAAUCCCAGCUACUUAGGAGGCUGAGGUUGCCAUGAGCCAAGAUUGUGCCACUGCACUGCAGCCUAAGCGACAGAGUGAGACUGCGUCUUAACAAAAAAAAAAAAAAAUUGCCUUUUCUGCCACUAUCCCCCACCACAUGGCUUCCAGCCUUCAAGUCCAGAAUUUGCCACCAACAGCCUUUUUCCCUUGAUGUGAAACCGUAGCCAUCAGGAAGGUCUCACCAUCUAACCUAGAUCUCUCUUGCUGUAACCCAAGCACCUUGCCUCUGCUUUCCCAAAGACAAGGAGGACAGCAGAGGCCACCCUGGCUCCAGGGUCACAGGCCAAGGACUCCAGGAUCAGCCCUGCCCAGCUGAUCUCCAGGCAUGGGAGGCUGAGGCAUGAGAAUCACUUGAAUCCGGGAGGCGGAGGUUGCAGUGAGCCAAGAUUGCGCCACUGCACUCCAGCUUGGGCAACAGAGUGAGACUCUGUCUCUAAAAAAUAAAUAAAUAAAAGCAUCUCCUGUGUGCAGGCCCUGCUCAUGUACUAAUAGACAAGGAAACUGAGGCUCAGGGAAGCUUAAGUAAGUUGUCAGAAUUCCAUACUGGUAGAAGCCACUUUGGGCUCUGGAGGUCGGGGUCCAGCGCCUCUGACCUUUGGCCCUGCACUGCACGGCUCUUCUAGUGCUUCUAAAUUCCGAAGUCUGGGGAGUAAGUCUCAACACUGUCACUUCCCAGUUAUUUAAUACAUGGCCCCAGUGGCACUAACCUGUCACUAAGCCUCAUGUUCUCCAUCCAUAAAAUGGAGACCACAAUCAUACCUGCUGCAAAAUCCAAAAUUCAGAGGUUUCUACAGCGUGACCGACACUGUGCCCCGGAGAGUUUCGGCCCUCUCCUGGCUCUGGCCCCCUGGAACACGUGAUGCCCAGCCCAAACAGUGCCACACCCUGCUCUACAAUGCCUCAACGAGAGUCACAACCAAAGAUUUUUGAGUCAGAGGACAAUAGAGGAGGUGGGAACUGGGUAAACGGAGAGUCCAUGGCCUUUGGAGGUGGGGCACAGCCCGGAGUGAAUGAGGGCCCAGAGUUUCCAGAGAACCGAAUAUAGAUCUGUGUGUGAAGCCUCCAGAUAUUCUAAUGUUGACAACGAAAUCAAAUUGAAAAAAAAUAAAAAUCAAUAACCCCUGUGUGGGCCAAAAGAAGUAAGACAGAGGGCCUCUCUUCCUCCCUUUAUUUCGACAAGCCCCUAAUACUGGGUUUGGCUUUGUGACCCCAAGGCCCUGGCUUGCCCAAUUGCAAAUUCUGACCUAAGGAAUUGAGUCUAUAUCUCUGGACCAUCUCCUCUCACCCUCUCUUGGACCCUUUUGUAGGAUCCUUCUCCCUUCUCUUCCUCCUAUCUGAGUCCUUGAAGGACCAGUUCAGAUAUCACCUCCUCCAGGAACCCUUCCUUGAUUUGUCCUCAAGUGGACAUUCUCCCUCUCUGACCACUAACAGCACUUUUUGCUUUAAUUAAAAUAAAACACAAAACCCACCUAUAUACUUUAAUAAAUCUGAGGGCGGAAUGAGGUCUUAUCUCCUCACCACAGUGCUCAUCCCAGAGCCAGGAUACCAGCUAGUGUUGACUGAAGGGGCAGACAGGUAGACGGACAGAUGGGGGGACUAAGUGAAUUCUAUCCCCAGCUCUGCCCCAUCUGUCCAGAGUUCAGGACAGAGGCCUCGCAGGGCAGAGGCCUCGCAGGUCAGGGUUUCUCAACCUUAGCUGUGCAUCGGAAUUACCCAGGGGAGGCUGCAGACACCACAGCCCAGGGCAUCUCACCCAGCUGGUGUGGGAUGGGGCCUGGGCAUCUGUAUUUUUAAAACCCACUUUGACCAUGACUGAAAAUCAGGGUCUCAGGGGCAAGAGGAGAAAUCCACCUCCUUAAGAGGCCAUGACCCCUUGGGGCCAGCCUGUGGCCCUAACAGCUCCAGAGGGUCCCUCAGGGUCUAGACUGUGGCCCUCUGAGUGAAUGCCCACUCGGUACCCCCUGGUCAGGAAGGGGAAAGUGGAACCCUCCUCUUUCCAGACAAAGAGCUGGGUGUACACGGCACGUGCCAGGCCGAGGGGCUCACCAGACCCCCCCCCCAACCAGGUCCAGGUAGCCUCUAAAUGGUCCCAUCCUGAGCAAUGACACGGUGAGGGCAGAGGGGAGCCUGCAGCGCCACUACACUUAGGCACAUCCUCCUACACCCCCUUGGCCAUGGGAAGGGGGACUGCUCAUUGCCAUGACAACCAGGCUCUGCAGCUGGGGCUGCCUCCCCUACCUAGGCCAGCCCUCUGAUGCCAAGCCCAUGGGUGUGGGGGAGAUGAGUGACUAAGGCCGGAAAUGGGGGUGAGUCACCGGGGCCUGCUCUGUCCAGAGCCUUCUGCAAACAGGCCAUCAACACAGGCAGCCUGAACGCCUGACUGGGCCCCCACUUGGGCAGGCUCCCAAUGGAGGGGGCCCCUACUUCUGGCCCCUUACCCUCAGCUCCCCAGGAACCUGUUGGGGGAAGGGGUGACAUUCCAGGCUGCCCCGCAAACUGGCACUGCCCCCCAAACACACACCCAGUGGAAAAGCCAAACAGAAGGAGGGUGCAGUCCCAGGCGGGGCCAGGUGCUGAGUCCCUGGUUGGGUGCUUCUGUGUCCCCACUGCUCGUGCUUCUGAACCCUGGGGCAGUGAGAGGACUGGGGUGUCCAGCAGGAAGGGCAGGGCCAACAGAGGUAAGGAGGCAAGGUCAGAGGGAGGGCUCAGGGCCAGGGCAGCGAUGCUGCGAGGACCGUGGCUCUCCAUCCAGCCACCCAGUAGACAUUUAUAGGUCCUGCCAGGCCCAAGCCCACAGAUGUCGCCUUGACCUUGUUCCUACCUGCUCUGAGCAGGUGCACAAGCCGCCCACCUCCUACUGUUCCUGUGGGGUUUGUAUCUACUUGAACCAUCUCUGCCUUGAUCCUGUAGCUGCCGGGCCAGUGACUGAGUGGGUGGAGACAAUCACAAAAUAAUAGCAGUGAAAAUGAGGGCAAACGAAAGCCAAAAGGUGGAAACAACCCGAGUGCUCAUCAACAGAUGAGCCUGUAAUCCCAGCACUUUGGGAGGCCAAGGCAGGCGGGUCAUUUGAGGUCAGGAGUUCAAGACCAGCCUGACCAAUAUGGUGAAACCCUGUCUCUACAAAAAAUAAAAAACAUUAGCUGGGCAUGGUGGCUCACACCUGUAAUCCCAGUACUUUGGAAGGCCGAAGCAGGCAGAUCAUUUGAGGUCAGGAGUUCGAGACCAGCCUGACCAACAUGGUGAAACCCCGUCUCUACUAAAAAUAGAAAACAGCCGAGCAUGGUGGCCCACGCCUGUAAUCUCAGCUACUAGGGAGGCUAAGGCAGGAGAAUGCUUGAACCCGGAAGGCAGAGGUUGCAGCGAGCUGAGAUUGUGCCACUAUACUCCAGCCUGGGAGACAUGGCGAGACUCCGUCUCAAAAAACAAAACAAAACAAAACAAACAAAAAACAUAUGAGACAGAUGAGUGCAUAAGCAAAAUAUGGUUUAUCGAUACAAUGGAAUAGUAUUCAGCCAUGUAAAGGAGUGAAAUCUGAUGCACGCUACAACAUGGAUGAACCUUGAAAACAUCAUGCUAAGUGAAAGAAGCCAGACCCCAAACGACAAAUACUAUGUGAUUCCACCCAUGUGAGGUACCCAGAGCGGCAAGUUCAUAGAGACAGAAAGUAGCUGGGAGGGUACCAGGGGCUGGAAUGGGGAGGUAAUGGAGAGUUAUUGCUUGAUGGUUAGUUUCUGUUUGGAUGAUGAAAAAGUUUUGGAAAUAGGCAACAGUAAUAGUUGCACAACAGCGUGAAUGUAAUUAAUGCCAGUGAAUUAACCACUUAAAAAUGGUUGCAAUGGCCAAUUUCAUUAUAUAUAUUUUACCAUAUUUUUUUUUUUUUUUUGAGAUGGAGUCUCGCUCUGUUGCCCAGGCUGGAGUGCAGUAGCACGAACUUGGCUCACUGCAAGCUCCGCCUCCUGGGUUCACGCCAUUCUCCUGCCUCAGCCUCCUGAGUAGCUAGGACUGCAGGUGCCCGCCACCACACCUGGCUAAUUUUUUUUGUAUUUUUUAGUAGAGACGGGGUUUCACCGUGUUAGCCAGGAUGGUCUUGAUAUCCUGACCUCAUGAUCCGCCCACCUCAGCCUCCCAAAGUGCUGGGAUUACAGGCAUGAGCCACUGCGCCCAGCCUAUUUUUUUUUUUUUUUUUUUUUUUUGAGACAGCAUCUCGUUCUGUUGCCCAGGCUGGAGUGCAGUGGCACGAUCUCAGCUCACUGCAACCCCCACCUCCCGGGUUCAAGUGAUUUCCGGCUAAUUGUUGUAUUUUUAGUAGAGAUGGGGUUUCACCAUGUUGGCCAGGCUGGUCUCGAACUCCUGACUUCAAGUGAUCCACUCGCCUCGGCCUCCCAAAGUGCUAGGAUUACAGGCGUGAGCCACAGCACCCGGCCUAUUUUACCAUAAUUUUUAAAGUUUAAUGAUAUAAUAUGCUGGAAACCAUUGUAUACUUUUUUUUUUUUUCUGAGACAGGGUCUUGCUCUGUAGCCAGGCUGGGGUGCAGUGGCACAAUAAUGGCUCACUGCAGCAGCCUCAAACUCUUGGGCUCAAACAAUCCACCUACCUCAGCCUCCCGAGGAGCUGGGACUACAGACUUGCACUACCAGGCCUGAAUAAUUUUUAAAUUUUUUUGUAGAGUUGGGGUCACACUAUGAUGCCCAGGCUGGUCUCAAACUCCUGGCCUCAAGUGAUUCAACAGCCUCUGCCUCCCAAAGUGCUCCGCACUGUGUACUUUCAAUGGAUAAAUUAUAAGGUAUGUGAAUGAAUAUCUCAAAAAUGCUGUUAAAGAAGCAGACAGCCAGGUCGGCACCCGGUGGGGCUGAAAUGUGGUGGAAGUUGGGGGAGUCUGACCCCAAAGGGCUGUGUGUGGCCACAACAGGCACAAGCACAUGGAGCCUGGUUUAGGCCUGGCCCAUAGUGGGUGCUCAGUAAAUGAUCACAAAGAAGGAAACUGAGGCAGGGCUCUGGGGAAGUGAGUUAGUGCCCCGGGUGGAAAGAGGCACCCACGUGUUCUGAUCCAUCUGUCCCCUUAGUCCCAUGGCCUCCAGGGGGUACCUUCCCCAGACCAGGACAGCGGCACCUCCCGCCCAAUUCAGUGUUGUCAGCUGGGGCUCAGACACCUUCCCAAGCUGCCCGCUUAUCUCAGCCUCAGAGAGGGGUCAGGCGUGCUGAGGAAAGGGCAGGCCCAGUUUCUCAACUUCCACCUGCAGCCCGGGCGGUUUGGGGCGUGGAUGGUCUGGGGCCUGAGCAGUUCUGUAAGGGUAGCCAAGACCAGGGACCAGAAACUACCUCAUGUCAGAGCUGGAAGGGGCCCCAAAUCCCACCCUUUUCACAGGUGCACCACUGAGCUCAGAGAGGACAAGCCCUGUGUGCUGAAGAUAGUGCAGGUCGCCCCCAGGCAGGGAUGGAUAUAGAGGCUGUGCAGUGGAGACAGGCGCCAGGGCAGCUGGCAGGGAGGGUGGGAGUUCUGUCCAGGCGUGUCCCGGAGGGGUGGCAUGCAGGCAGGGCAGGGUGUGUGUGGGGUGUAUGCAUAGGUGGGGAGUGUGUGUGUGCGUGAGACAGUGUGUGUGUAUGAGUGUGAGUGAAUGUGUGUGAGUGUGUGCGUGUGAGUGUGUGUGUGCGUACAGGGUUCAUGGGUGGAGAGGGUGGAAGGUGGGCCAGCCAGGGGGAAAUAGGCGGCUCGCACUCGGGAGGUGCACACAGGGCUCCACAGGAAUGCGAGUCAUGCAGGGAACUGCUACAGCCAGCAGCUGUGGCCAAGGCCGAGCAGGGAGUAGAGAAAGAGCGUUUCCAGGUGGCCGGGGCUGUGAGGCUCUAGGAGAGGACACACAAUGGCGAGGGGUCCCAAAGACCCUCCCACCCUAAUCCUUUAGCCAGCAGGCAGCCUCCACACCUCAGGCACCAAGCAUGUCCCCCGUGACCCAGCUGGCUGCCACACCCAGGGCUGGAGCCUGGCGGGGGCUCGGUGCCAGAGUCCAUAACAUUCCUUGGAGAAUCAACAAAGUCAGGAAAGGCAGGCGGUGCUUCCCUUGGCCCCGGGUGGGACACAGCAAGUGGGGGUGGCAGCACCCUUUUCUCUGGGGCCAGAACAGGCAUGAAACCUGGUUGGGUGCGGAAGUCAGGGUAGGGGACAGGGAAAGAUGUGAGGGGGACCACAGGGCCUGGCAGAGCCAGCCCCCUAGUCCCACCUGGCAUGCCCCUGCUUAGACUGGAGGGCCACCCAGCUUACCCACCACCCAGGCCAGGCACCUGCCAGGGCUGGGGGUUGUUCUGAAGACCCUCACCUGCCAAGUCACCCACAGCAGUCCCACUCACCCUGCGGAAGACAUCCCAGGCAGGCCAUGGGCCGAGCCCUCUCGCUCAGGGGCACUUGGUAGUGUGUGUAGGCUGGGGAGGCAAGGGGGCAGGAUUCUGCCCACUCAGGCCUCUGCCCAUGGGGAGGAUGAGGGGCAGGGGCGGAGCAUCAGGGCACAGGCACACACGGGGCUGUGGGGACACAGGGUGGCCAGAGAAAAUCCAGGACACCCGUUAAAUGUGAAAUUCAGAUAAAGAAUAAUUUUUUAGUAUAAAUACAUUCCAUAUUCCGCAUUUAGCGGAAUUCCAAACUUAACCGGGUGUUCUGUAUUUUAUUUGGCAGCCCUGUGAGGACGCUCCUGGGGGCUGGCAGGGCCCCCAUGGGAGAGGAGCGGCCAGGAGGCCCCCUGCAGGUAUCAGCUUCUCUAUCAGUCACUGUGUGACAAGCACGGACUCUGGGCCACACUGCCUGGGUUCAAAUUUUCUCUCAGCUACUUCCCAGCUUUGAACCCUAGGCAAGUUACCAAAUCUCUCUGAGUCUUAGUUUCCUCAUCUGUAAGAGAAGGCUACUGGUACCACCUACCUCAUAUUAGUGUGAGCAUUACAUGAGAUAAUAUGCGAAAAGCGCCUGGGACAGUGACAAAAUUGUUCAUUAGUAUUCAUCAGGCUAGCCAAGAAUGGUGGCUUACACCUGUAAUCCCAGCACUUUGGGAAUCCAAGGCAGGAGGAUUCUUUUAGCCCAGGAGUUCAAGACCAGCCUGGACAACACAGUGAGACCCCAACUCUACAAAAAACAGAAACAAAAUUAGCUGGAUGUGGUGGUACCCAGUCUCCCAGUCUCCUGAGUCCCAGCUACUUGGGAGACUGAGGUGGGAGGAUCACUUGAGGUCAGGAAUUUGAGGUUGCAGUGAGCCAUGAUCAUGCCACUGCACUCCAGCCUGGGUGACAGAAUGAGACCCUGUCUCAUAAACAACUAACAACAACAGCAACAACAAAAAGUAUUCACUGGGAGCCAUCAUGGAAAACUAGGCUCUGGCAGCAGGCAGGCAUGUGGCCUUGGGCGGUGAUUUCACCCCUCCGCCUUGAGCUUCCCGUCUGUAAUGUGACAUGAGGACAGCACCUCCCGCACAGGGAUGCCUGAGGAUUAAGCAGGAUCAGGUCUGAUGCAAGCUCAGCACAGUGCCUCACGCAUGGCGGGUGCUCACUGGGCUCUAGCGCUCCUCUCUCUUCAAUGAUUCCCUGCAAGUCCGCAGCCCAGCCCAGGAGCGGGGGACUGGAGGGGGGACAAAGGACUCCCACUCACUGUGGGGGUGUUUUCUUCCUCCUUCCCCGCUCAUCUGGGUCUCCCUAGUGUGGCCCUAAAGGAUUUUCCUUCCUCAGGCCCCUCUAAGCCACUCCCUGCCCUAGUCCCUUGACCUGAUUUGAUAUAAAAUCUAUUCUCUGUUAGGCUAAGGGGUGUGGUGAUGGCAGGGGCAGAGCGAGGCGGGGGAGGCUACCUGGGUGACAGGCCUAGGCCUUGGCCUCUGAUGGCCCAAGGGGCUGGGCCCCAAGACUGGGUUUCCUUCUCCACCCUGUCCCUGGACUCCCUAUGGCCUGGGGAAGGGACAUUCCCAACAGACUCGGACUCAACAUUCCUCUCUCUGCAGUCACUCAGCAGGACAGGGCAGUGGUGAGGAAUGAGGGUGACCUAGAUGACAUUCUGAUAUCUAUGUAGUUCCCGAGAGUGUCACCUUGAUGAGGUGCCCAGAGCUCCCGUGCAGCCUUACUCAGCUGAUGAGUACCGAGGCCCGGGCUCAGCUGUAAUUAUUUGUCUGCAUGUGACUCUGCCCACUAAACUGUGCACUCCCUGAGGGCAAAGCUCUGUGCUACUCAUCUCUGUAGCCCCAGCCCCUGGCACAGCACCCUGGCCCACUAAUGGCGCUCAGCAAACGUGUGGGAUGAAGAGGCCAAUGGGCAUGGGGCCUCCCCUCAGCCCUUCCGCGGCACCCGUGACCCUGCCAGGGCUGACUCCCAGGGCUGCCCUCAGCCAUCCCCAAACCACACCAUUUCUUAGCCCAGAGAAUGACACCUGUCGAUCACAGAGUCCAGCCCAGUCUAUCUCCUGGGAGUUCUGGGGUCCAUCCUGGGUGUCCCCCAAGUCUGGUCCCCACCCCUUGCCCAACUAACUCCUCAGCCUCCCUCCUUGGGUCUCCCUGUUUCGCCCCUGCCUUCAUCCAACCUGCCCCCCACUCUCCACACUCACUCCUGCCCAAGCCCUUUCUGGGGCUCCUGAUGCCCUCCAGAUAAAGUCCAUGACUCUCCAGGGAGGGCCUGGAGGAGCUCCUCCCACCCCCAGCCUCUCCCCUU